AAGAGGCUGAGAACAAAUGCAAGCAGCUGGAGAAGGAGUUCGAGCUGUACCGGGAUCAGCAGAACGUCCGGCCCGAGGUCCGUCUGCAGUCAGAGAUCAACCUGCUGACCCUGGAGAAGGUGGAACUGGAGCGUAAACUGGAGUCUGCUACUAAAUCUAAACUGCAUUACAAGCAGCAGUGGGGACGAGCCCUGAAGGAGCUAGCCAGGUUUAAACGGGCUGAAGCAGCAGGAGGAGACGCG